GCAGCAGCCACGGUAAUACGAAGGGGGCUAGCGUUGCUCGGAAUGACUGGGCGUAAAGGGCGCGUAGGCGGCGAUCAAAGUCAGGCGUGAAAUUCCUGGGCUCAACCUGGGGGCUGCGCUUGAUACUUGGUUGCUUGAGUGGGGAAGAGGGUCGUGGAAUUCCCAGUGUAGAGGUGAAAUUCGUAGAUAUUGGGAAGAACACCGGUGGCGAAGGCGGCGACCUGGUCCUUGACUGACGCUGAGGCGCGAAAGCGUGGGGAGCAAACAGGAUUAGAUACCCCAGUAGUCCCUGUCUCUUAUAC
rnacentral:rRNA from 1 species